rnacentral:rRNA from 1 species
CUAUACAUGACUCUGCGCAUAUCAAUAAGCGGAGGAAAAGAAACUAACAAGGAUUCCCUUAGUAACGGCGAGUGAAGCGGGAAGAGCUCAAAUUUGAAAUCUUCAGGGUUCUACCUUGACGAAUUGUAGUUUAUAGAAGUGUUUUCUGUUAGUAGGAGUGGCAAAAGUUCUUUGGAAUAGGACAUCAUAGAGGGUGAGAAUCCCGUAUUUGGUCAUUCUUUCUAGCUUUGUGAUACACUUUCAACGAGUCGGAUUGUUUGGGAAUGCAGUCCAAAAUGGGUGGUAAAUUUCAUCUAAAGCUAAAUAUUGGCGAGAGACCGAUAGCGAACAAGUACCGUGAGGGAAAGAUGAAAAGAACUUUGAAAAGAGAGUUAAACAGUACGUGAAAUUGUCAAAAGGGAAGCGUUUGACACCAGUGUUGUUUUUCCGAAAAUCAAUUACGAAUGUUUUAGUUUUUGAGGAGUUAUGACUUCAUCGGCUUGCUUCUUUCUUUACGAAACUUUCUUAAUGCACUUUUCGGUUAACAAGUCAACAUCAAUUUCUUUUGUUGUAAAAGGGUAUGAGGAAGGUGGCUUUCUUUUCGGAGAAAGUGUUUAUAGCCUUGUACCUCUGCAAUCGGAGAGAUUGAGGUCUGCAGCGUAGAUCCUUCGGGGUUAGAUACAUUUGUGCUAAGUUAUAGCUUUUCAUAGACAACUUGUUGACUAUGUUUAGUCUUGUAGCUUACUCGCUUAUGCUAUUUUACCUACGCUUAGGAUGUUGAUAGUCACAGCGUGUAC